UGCGGGCCCUUCUCCUGAAAAAACGUAAUCACAAUAUCCUAAAUGUUUUAAAGUAAACUGUUGUUGCUGCACGAUAUACGGUGAGGACCGUAAGUUUGUGGUUCCACUUACGUGUUCGUAAAUUGAGUGGUUGAACUCUUCAUCACUAGCCCUAUUUCCCAAUAACUAAUAGUGUUGGAUAAGUCUGUCCUGAAGAUCACGUUUUUGACCUGUAGUCGAAAUAUCCAAUUCCCUCAACUUCUCUUUCAGUCCGGUAACAGUUAAAGUCAUUCAGGGGUGUUGUGAAAUCCAAGACAGAAUUGCUUAGCUGUCAGAAUUGCAAACCAAUUCUGAUUUAAAAUGGUGUCACAGAAUCUGAUUGGAUUUUCGUCUUUUCGAACAUAUGCAAAACCAAUAUUCGAAUCAGCUGUUUACUUAUGUGACAAAUAUUGUGAAUGCAAUUUGAAUAAAAUUUGAAAUGAGUUCGGCAAUAUUAGCUUUCCUUUUAUUAGAGGAAGAAAGAAAUGAAAGAAUUAAACGUAAAAUAUUAAGGGAUCCUAGUAACCCACUUGAUGCUCCAGGAGAAUCAUUCAUAUCACAUUAUCGGCUGAAUAAAGACGCAUUUAUUAUGGUGUUAAAUAUAAUAGAACCACAUUUGCAGCCCACGACUAUUCCACCGAUAAUUCAAUUGGCAGCAACACUGCGUUUUUUAGCAGAAGGGGCUUACCAACGGGGAGU